rnacentral:rRNA from 1 species
GAGUUUGAUCCUGGCUCAGGAUGAACGCUAGCGGCAGGCUUAACACAUGCAGGUCGAGGGGUAACAGAGAAAAGCUUGCUUUUUUGCUGACGACCGGCGCACGGGUGCGUAACGCGUAUGCAAUCUACCUUUUGCUAAGGGAUAGCCCAGAGAAAUUUGGAUUAAUACCUUAUAGUAUGAUGACUUGGCAUCAAGAUAUCAUUAAAGGUUACGGCAAAAGAUGAGCAUGCGUUCUAUUAGCUAGUUGGUGUGGUAACGGCAUACCAAGGCAACGAUAGAUAGGGGUCCUGAGAGGGAGAUCCCCCACACUGGUACUGAGACACGGACCAGACUCCUACGGGAGGCAGCAGUGAGGAAUAUUGGACAAUGGAGGCAACUCUGAUCCAGCCAUGCCGCGUGCAGGAAGACUGCCCUAUGGGUUGUAAACUGCUUUUAUACAGGAAGAAACACCUCUACGUGUAGAGAUUUGACGGUACUGUAAGAAUAAGGAUCGGCUAACUCCGUGCCAGCAGCCGCGGUAAUACGGAGGAUCCAAGCGUUAUCCGGAAUCAUUGGGUUUAAAGGGUCCGUAGGUGGAUAAUUAAGUCAGAGGUGAAAUCCUGCAGCUUAACUGUAGAAUUGCCUUUGAUACUGGUUGUCUUGAGUUGUUAUGAAGUGGUUAGAAUAUGUAGUGUAGCGGUGAAAUGCAUAGAUAUUACAUAGAAUACCAAUUGCGAAGGCAGAUCACUAAUAAUAUACUGACACUGAUGGACGAAAGCGUGGGGAGCGAACAGGAUUAGAUACCCUGGUAGUCCACGCCGUAAACGAUGGUCACUAGCUGUUCGGGUUUCGAUCUGAGUGGCUAAGCGAAAGUGAUAAGUGACCCACCUGGGGAGUACGUUCGCAAGAAUGAAACUCAAAGGAAUUGACGGGGGCCCGCACAAGCGGUGGAGCAUGUGGUUUAAUUCGAUGAUACGCGAGGAACCUUACCAGGGCUUAAAUGUGGUUUGACAGCUUUAGAGAUAGAGUUUUCUUCGGACAAAUCACAAGGUGCUGCAUGGUUGUCGUCAGCUCGUGCCGUGAGGUGUCAGGUUAAGUCCUAUAACGAGCGCA